rnacentral:tRNA from 1 species
GCCCAAGUGGCGGAAUUGGCAGACGCCCAGGACUUAAAAUCCUGUGGGAAGAGAUUCCCGUGCCGGUUCGACCCCGGCCUUGGGCACCA